rnacentral:rRNA from 1 species
GUGGGGAAUUUUGGACAAUGGGGGCAACCCUGAUCCAGCCAUGCCGCGUGCGGGAAGAAGGCCUUCGGGUUGUAAACCGCUUUUGUCAGGGAAGAAAUCCUUUGGGUUAAUACCUCGGAGGGAUGACGGUACCUGAAGAAUAAGCACCGGCUAACUACGUGCCAGCAGCCGCGGUAAUACGUAGGGUGCGAGCGUUAAUCGGAAUUACUGGGCGUAAAGCGUGCGCAGGCGGUUUUGUGAGAUCGAUGUGAAAUCCCCGGGCUCAACCUGGGAACUGCAUUGGUGACUGCAAGGCUGGAGUGCGGCAGAGGGGGAUGGAAUUCCGCGUGUAGCAGUGAAAUGCGUAGAUAUGCGGAGGAACGCCGAUGGCGAAGGCAAUCCCCUGGGCCUGCACUGACGCUCAUGCACGAAAGCGUGGGGAGCAAACAGGAUUAGAAACCCUUGUAGUCC